rnacentral:rRNA from 1 species
AAUGAACGUUGGCGGCGUGGAUUAGGCAUGCAAGUCGAACGGGCCGCAAGGCCAGUGGCGAAAGGGAGAGGAAUACGUAGAUACCUACCCUCUGGUUCAGGAUAGCCGCGGGAAACUGCGGGUAAUACUGAAUAACAUCUCCGGAUCAAAGGUGUGAUUCCGCCGGAGGACGGGUCUGCGUCCUAUCAGCUAGUUGGUGAGGUAAUGGCUCACCAAGGCUAUAACGGGUACUGGGUGUGAGAGCACGACCCAGCUCACUGGGACUGAGAUACUGCCCAGACACCUACGGGUGGCUGCAGUCGAGAAUCUUCGGCAAUGGGCGCAAGCCUGACCGAGCGACGCCGCGUGUGGGAUGAAGGCCUUCGGGUUGUAAACCACUGUCGGGGGGGAUGAAAUAUUCAAGGGUUUUCCCUUGGACUUGACAUAUCCUCGGAGGAAGGACGGGCUAAGUUCGUGCCAGCAGCCGCAGUAACAC